CUUUCUGGAAGUGAAAAUAUAGAAAGUCGGUCCUGCUCACUGAAAUAUUUAAAGAGCCGCAGUAUAUUGACUGUGCAAAGGUAGCAUAAUCAUUAGUUUCUUAAUUAGAAACUGGAAUGAAUGGUUUGACGAGAAAACAACUGUCUUCAGAUUGAAUAAUUGAAUUUUAUAUUUGAGUUAAAAAGCUAAAAUGUAAAUUAGGGACGAGAAGACCCUAUAGAUCUUUAUAUAAUGUUUUAUUAGAAUUGAAUUAAGAGUAAUUUUUUAUUAGGAGAUUAUAUUGGGUUGGGGUGACAGUAGAAUAGGGAAACUUCUAUAAAUAAGAACAAUGAUUAUUGGAUAUAAGAUCCUUUAUUAAGGAAAGAAGAUUAAGAUACCUUAGGGAUAACAGCGUAAUUUUAUUGGAAAGUUCUUAUUGAUAAUAAAGAUUGCGACCUCGAUGUUGGAUUAAGAUUACUUAUUUGUGUAGAAGCUAAUAAAGUAGGUCUGUUC
rnacentral:rRNA from 1 species